GCCAGACAUGGUGACAUAGCCCUGUAAUCCCUGCUGCUGCAAAGGCUGAGGUUGAUGAAUCCCUUGAUCUCAGGAGUUCUGAGCUGCACUGGGCUAAUGCUGAUCAGACAUUCCCACUAAGUUCAGCAUCCAUAUGGUGGCCUGGAAAGUGGGGAGCAAUCAUGUUGCCUAAGGAGAGACAAACAAGUCCAGGUGGGAAACUGAGCAGAUCAAAGCUUUUUUGCCAAUCUGCAGUGGGAUCUGGCCCGUGAAUGACCACUGUACUGCCAUUCUGAAAGAGACGGGUAUACCUAAUCUAAA
rnacentral:SRP_RNA from 1 species